UCUAUCCUACGGGACGCAGCAGUCGAGAAUCAUUCACAAUGGGGGAAACCCUGAUGGUGCGACGCCGCGUGGGGGAAUGAAGGUCUUCGGAUUGUAAACCCCUGUCAUGUGGGAGCAAAUUAAAAAGAUAGUACCACAAGAGGAAGAGACGGCUAACUCUGUGCCAGCAGCCGCGGUAAUACAGGGGUCUCAAGCGUUGUUCGGAAUCACUGGGCGUAAAGCGUGCGUAGGCUGUUUCGUAAGUCGUGUGUGAAAGGCGCGGGCUCAACCCGCGGACGGCACCUGAUACUGCGAGACUA
rnacentral:rRNA from 1 species